CCCUUCCUCGCUUCUUCCCCCUGGAAUGCCUCUCCGUUCCCUCUCACAUCUUUAUCGUUAGGGAGAACGGGUAACAUCGAGGGAACAUUCGCUGUAUAGAAAUCAGAUUUCCACCCUCUACCAUUAGUAGAAGGGCUUCUACACUUCCAUCACCACCAUCGCGUCCACUCAAAUGUUUAAUAAUUACAGCCGUGUGACCAAUGGAAGUGCCGGCAGCAGCAAGGUGCAAAAAGCAAAUGGAACGCCGACAAAUGAACAGUGUAAGAAGAAGAAGAAGAAAAAGAAGACCUCAUUAGUGUGUUUUCAGCUACCUGGAACAGACGCUACGAAAAGGGAAGAAGAGUGGAUGGGCCCCCCAGGUACUGCGGUUGAAUUUUCUGACUAAUGGCCCCUCGACGCUUCGUGCAUUUCUUUCUCGUCAAUUGUUUUUGUGGAUUUUUUUUCUUUCUUUCUCUUUCAGUGGAACUGUUUCGCAUAGGUUUCACUAGGUGUGAACAGGCAAGGUCUAGAGCACGUUUUGGGGGAAGAAAUGUCUUCGGAAGCUACAGCAGUAGAUUGAUGUUAACAACUGUGGCGAAAGGCGGCGUACAGACGUGGAGAGAGGACAGGAGGAAGGAGUGGACCACAGGGGGUCAUGCAUGCGUUGUAUGCGUCCUAGGCCUACUUCAGGGGGAACUGUGCCAACAUUCGUCUGGAAACUCUACCGGAAAACACAGGGAAAACAUCAGACAGCACAGCCGGUGUCGAGAUUCGAUCCAGCGUCACCUCCCACUGUCUGCGUAGAAGCUGAUCUUCUUCUUCUUCUUCGUCCCACGAUCAUCCUAACAACUACGCCACGCGAGCUGUUUCUUUUUCUUUUUCAAUCCAAAAGCAUUUUAUUUCAUAGAGCUGCAAUUCAAAGGGCUCUUAGUGAAGUACUGUUACAUUAACGAUGUCUGCAGCUCGCAUUACUUGCGCUGCUAUACUCAUCACCAUGGUAGCCACGAUGUAAACCGGCUGCUUUUACGAAGUCAAAUUUUUCGUACUAUUCAUCGUACAUCAGCGUGGUUCGUUCUUGAAGAUGAAGUGCAAAAACAGUGAUUCCCGGAGCUUUCAUUAUUUGCAGGCAAAGGAAGCGAUAUCGCUGCGACCCGAGGGCCCGUGAACAUCAAUAUGUCGUGCGGCACACCCUCCUUAUUUAAACGUUAAUGGCAUUACAUGCACGGCAAUCACCCGAAUUCACGCCUAUCGAAAUUGGCUACCGCCACUUUGCCCAAAAGAGGUACAAAGAGAGCACAGCUAUGUAUCGUGCAUCGAAAAUUGUUCUUUAUGUAGGCUCUCGAAGAAGUAGUGCUUAAUUUCGCUCCGUAAAAAAUUUAUGGAAAGACGAAUGCGAAAAGCGAAGCGAAUCGUUUGAAGCGAAACGCCAUUCAAUAGUCAUGUACUGCCGUGUGGCAGCAGCUAAGCUGAGAACGUCCGUGCUGAAGCAGGGACAUCGAUAAAGAUGGUAAAUGUGUAGUCAGUCUCGUCACUUAUCCUUGGGGUGAUGCCACAAGGCGUAGCUUUUGUCGUUUCAGGAAAGUUACUACACUGUGGUUGUUUAAAGAGCACAAGUGUUAUGAUUUUAUUAUGCGCGCACGAACCAUGUGCGAUUAUAACCUAAUGUUAACGUACGCACGAAAUAUUUCACUAGGAAAGCUUGGGCCAUUCAGGGAGCAACAGCUCGCAGCGAAUGAGAGACUAUGCAACGACGGAGGGCACAAUGUUAAUAUGGAUAAGUUGCAGGAAUGUACCAUGGUUAUAACUACUGUACUAAUGUUCCCCCUCAAGCAAUGGGAUAGGGAGCCGGCUCAGCAGCGAAACAUCCCACUACAUCGUCAUCACUUAUUUCUUGUUGUUGUUGUACUAACGUUAAUCAAUGAGCGCUGGUUAGCAGUAUUAUGACACUGCCAUACAGUUCAUUAUGAAUACAGUCGUUCCUCGUUAAUAUGAACGCCGUUGAUGUGGGUGAUGCGAAAUAUAGAGGGUUUCCUUUCCUUUUCUUUUCUUUUUUUUUUUUUUUGUGGGGACCAAAUUAUAUUGAUGUCUCGUUAGUACCGAAACACGCUUUGUGAAUAAUGAACAGUGCAAUAAGGUACUAAGUUGU